CCAGUGGUUUUACCCUAUGGUAGG
rnacentral:miRNA from 1 species